UGCUGCCUUCCUUGCAUGUGGUAGCCAUUUCUCAGGGUCCCUGUACAGAAUGGAACCCUGACUCCCCAUUACCCGUGGUCACCAUGGUAGGCACAGAAACUGGCAUCGAAAGUUGAUAUGGAUGACAUCCAAAUGCAAAGUCGCCAUCACGGGGAUGUGCGAUUGGCCCGAGGUUCUCUAGAGUCAACAAAGUGCCUGCGCAACUAUAAUGUCAACAGCUACUCUGCGGAACAGAG